GCCGGGCGUGGUAGCACACGCCUGUAGUCCCAGCUACUCUGGAGGCUGAGGUGGGAGAAUCGCUUGAACCUAGGAGGUGGAGGUUGCAGUGAGCUGAGAUCAGCCACUGCAUACUCCAGCCUGGGCUACAGAGUGAGACUCUUUCUCGA
rfam:Homo sapiens chromosome 12, GRCh38 reference primary assembly.